rnacentral:rRNA from 1 species
ACACAUGCAGUCGAGGGGUAACAGAUCUUCGGAUGCUGACGACCGGCGAACGGGUGAGUAACACGUAUGCAACUUACCCAUAACUCGGGAAUAGCCCAAAGAAAUUUGGAUUAAUACCCAAUAAUACAGGCGUACCGCAUGGUAUUCUUCGUUAAAGAAUAAUCGGUUAUGGAUAGGCAUGCGUUCUAUUAGGUAGUUGGUGAGGUAACGGCUCACCAAGCCGACGAUGGAUAGGGGAACUGAGAGGUUGUCCCCCCACACUGGUACUGAGACACGGACCAGACUCCUACGGGAGGCAGCAGUGAGGAAUAUUGGUCAAUGGACGAAAGUCUGAACCAGCCAAAUCGCGUGAAGGAAGAAGGUAUUAUGUAUCGUAAACUUCUUUUGUAAGAGAGUAAAGUGCACUACGUGUAGUGUAUUGCAAGUACCUUACGAAUAAGCAUCGGCUAAUUCCGUGCCAGCAGCCGCGGUAAUACGGAAGAUGCAAGUGUUAUCCGGAUUUAUUGGGUUUAAAGGGUGCGUAGGUGGUCUAAUAAGUCAGUGGUGAAAUCUCUUUGCUUAACAAGGAAAUUGCCAUUGAAACUGUUAGACUUGAGAAUGGACGAGGUAGGCGGAAUUCGUAGUGUAGCGGUGAAAUGCAUAGAUAUUACGAAGAACUCCAAUAGUGUAGACUGCUUACCAGACCAUAUCUGACACUAAGGCACGAAAGUGUGGGUAUCAAACAGGAUUAGAUACCCUGGUAGUCCACACAGUAAACGAUGAAUACUAACUGUUUGCGAUAUACAGCAAGUGGUCGAGCGAAAGCGUUAAGUAUUCCACCUGGGAAGUAUGCCGGCAACGGUGAAACUCAAAGGAAUUGACGGGGGCCCGCACAAGCGGAGGAACAUGUGGUUUAAUUCGAUAAUACGCGAGGAACCUUACCCGGGCUCGAACGAUAUUUGAAUACAUCCGAAAGAUGUAGCUAGCAUAGCA